GAUCCUGCUCAGGAUGAACGCUAGCUACAGGCUUAACACAUGCAAGUCGAGGGGCAGCAUGGUCUUAGCUUGCUAAGGCCGAUGGUGACCGGCGCACGGGUGAGUAACACGUAUCCAACCUGCCGUCUACUCUUGGACAGCCUUCUGAAAGGAAGAUUAAUACAAGAUGGCAUCAUGAGUCCGCAUGUUCACAUGAUUAAAGGUAUUCCGGUAGACGAUGGGGA
rnacentral:rRNA from 1 species